rnacentral:tRNA from 1 species
GGCCCUGUAGCCCAACGGCAGAGGCACGGUGCUCAAACCACCGACAGUGUGGGUUCGAAUCCCACCGGGGCUA